GACGAACGCUGGCGGCGUGCUUAACACAUGCAAGUCGAACGAGUGGCGAACGGGUGAGUAACACGUGGGUGAUCUGCCUUGCACUUCGGGAUAAGCUUGGGAAACUGGGUCUAAUACCGGAUAGUGCAAGAUGAGCUCGCGGCCUAUCAGCUUGUUGGUGGGGUAAUGGCUACCAAGGCGCGACGGGUAGCCGGCCUGAGAGGGGGUACGGCCACAUUGGGACUGGGAUACGGCCCAGACUCGUACGGGAGGCAGCAGUGGUGAAUAUUGCACAAUGGGCGGAAGCCUGAUGCAGCGACGCCGCGUGGGGGAUGAAGGCCUUCGGGUUGUAAACUUCUGUAGCGAGCGAGUAAGUAGCUCGAGAAUAAGUAUCGGCUAACUCCGUGCCAGCAGCCGCGGUAAUUC
rnacentral:rRNA from 1 species